UAUUUUUUGCGCCUUUGCUUUGGCGCGGUGCGUGCCUUGCCUUGCACCUUGUCCCUUGGGUGCAAAAUGCCCUUUGUGCUUUUAAAACACUGUUUGGGGUCUGCUACACCAAUCUUGUUUGACAGUUUUGCUCUUUCAAGAGCCAUAUUUCUAUCAAUUACAUGUUCUUAGAUCAUUUCUUAUCCCUUCUGUCAUUUAUAGAUCCGGCCCAAUCAACAUCAGUACACCUCUAUUCUCAAAUGGCCAUGGCUAGAGAACAAUAUAUCUCGACCUGGCUGCCCUUUAAGGUAGUGCAAGAUUUCUCUCUUCUGCUUCAGCAUGUGUUUCUUUUGACGAGUGCAUAUACUGGCUUGUGACACUGAUACAUGAGAAAUGCCUAGAUGAAUUAUGCACAAGUUGAACAAUCUCUCAACUAAUCAUUCCUUGUCUUCAAGAAGCUGUCCUUUAGUAGCCGUCACCCUUUUAUUAGUAUCUAUUAGGUGUUCAACAGGUUUAACACCCAGCUUUCCUGUAUCCUGUAGUAUGUCUAUUACAUAUUUCCUCUAAGAGAUGAAUUACCAUAUUGAGUCCUAAAACUUCGCUAAGGAAAUAUCUGAAAUCGCCUAGGCUUUUGUUUCAAACUUUUUGCUGCGAAACUGUUUUAACUGUUGAAUUCUAGCCGCAUCAUUCCCUGUCACCACAACAUCUUAACAUAAACUAUGAGAGCAGUAAGCAAGGAGCCCUUAUAAUAAAUGAAGUGUGGUUAGGCUAAGCCUAUAGAAAACCAUACAUGCCAGAUCACUCCAAAAUCCGACAAGCCAGAGUCCAAGUGACUUCUUGAGUCCAUACAAGGACUGCUGAAGCCUACAAACUCUACCUCUUCUCAUCAGUAGUACAAAUACCGGAAAGAAGAUUCAUGUACACUUUAUUUAAGUAAUUUAAUAAAGCAUUAUUCACAUCCUACUGAUAUCAUGCCCAUGAAUAAGAUGCUGUCAAGUAUCUUAUUAGCUGUGGUCCAUGGGUUAUGGAGACACUACAAGGGCUGAGAUAUUAGCUGUGGUACAAGGACUACAGAUUUCCAACCAACUUGGAGUGACUAAUUUGAUAGUUGAAGGAGACUCUAAGGUGAUAGUGCAUAGUGGGAUGGAUGUCAGACCCAGAAACUGUUGUUUGGGGAUAUAGGGACGUCAUCAAAAAAGUCAAAUGGCUUACGAGAACCAUGUCAGUUAGCUUUCAGUGGGUUAGUAGAUCAGCAAAUGCUUUGGCAGAUUCUUUAGCUUUCAAGGGGCUUCAAGGGAUUCUCUGUUUUUGGAUAAUUUGUAACUGCAAUCUGAAAAGAGUUGGGUUUGGAACCACCUUUAAGGGGAGGUAACACCUCGUGCCUCCUCUUAGGGUGCUUCAUGCUUGUACUAUUUCUAUCUCUAUUUAAUAGACUACUAUUCAUUCAUAAAAAAAAAAGAUGCUGCCAAGUACAUUAGAUUAGAACACUAAUGGAGUUCAUCUUUUCCAUUGGUUCCAAGUAAUCAAUCCUUUAUCCAUUGUAAAAAAACCAUAUAUCCACAACAUAUCUGGCUUUUGGUUUCUAGUUCUUUUAAAAGGAUGGUCAACUAUGAUAGUGGCUUCUCUACACAUAUUUUAUACUUUAUAUAUAUCCUGAUAUAAUCUCUGGAUUUACAUCAUGUAGUCCUCUCUGAUUAAUAGUAAAUACUAACAGUCUUUGAAAGGUCCAUUGCUAUAAACCAUUAUAGUUUAGGGGUAUGCUUAAUUAUAUGUUUCAGUAUUUAUUCUUCAGGCCUUACUGUACUUCACUAGUUUCUGCUUCAGCAUUGGUUCUCCUUCCAGCUUGCAUUCUGAACUCAUCCACUACUCCUUGGUGUUGUGUCAGAUUCUUCAAUUUUUAGUGUAAAUUUGAUAUCCAAUAAUUUGUGCAGCAAUAUCCUUACUAUAUCUGGGUAGCAUUGCUCUCAAAACUCUUGCACCAACUUGUGAUGGCGACCUAUAAACUGAUUCAUCAAUACUAAGUUUCAACCUGACCGCCCAAUGAGGAGUUUGGCUCUUAAGUUUUGGGCAUACCUGCUCACUUUAGAUUUUUCAAAUAUAUUUAACUAACUUUAUAGCCUUACACAUGAUUUGUUGAGAUUUUCUUAUAGGAUCUGGUUAUUGGUGGUUGUUGUUUAAAACACAAGUUAUUCCAAUCUUUUGAAACCUUCCAAGUGCCUACAAUAUGGCCCAGCAGGUGAAGGAGAUUCACUAAGAGCGGAAGUAAUGGCAGUUAUGGAAGUGGUGCCAAGGGCUAGAACCAUGAAUGCUAGAAAGCUAAUCAUUGAAGGGGAUUCCAAACUGGUAGUGGAUUGGCUACUGGAUGAGGAAAGUAGGAUGUGGAAAUAUAAUAAUGAGAAGAAAAAUUCAGAUGGAUCACAAAGGACAUGGAACUGAGAAUACAGUGGGUGAAAAGAACAGCUAAUUCAAUGGCUGCUGCGCUAGCCAAGCAAGGGGUCGGGAGAAUUCAAACAUUUUGGGCACAAAUGUAAUUGUAAUUAUAACUAAAGUUAAAGGGGAGAGAUAAGAGAGCUUGUCUCUCUCUCACUUUCUCUUGUACGCUUUCCUUUAAAUUCAAUGAAGUAAUCAGUUAUUCAUAAAAAAAAAA